ensembl:lncRNA MIR4435-2HG MIR4435-2 host gene
AUCUUCACAGCACAGUUCCUGGGAAGGUGGAGCCACCAGCCUCUCCCUGACAAGCAAAGUGGAUCAGCAAAGGCUGCAGUCACCAGCAUCUUUUCCAACCUUAAUGAACUGUAUCCUCAAAAGAACACUAUCAGACUGGUAAGACAAGCAUUAUUGUCCCACUUCACAGAUGAAGAGCUUGGGGGCCCUGUGGAUGUGUAGGAGAGUCGGCCUUCCUUUUUAUAGGCCUUUUGCUGAGCUCAGAGGACAGAGCAGAAGACAAAGCCGAAUGCAGCCCUAAGCAGACACUAUCCCAGCCCAAGGAGCUAUGCAGACAGCUCCUGCCUAGAGGAGAAACAAUUCUCUCCUUCAGCCAGGCAUGUGGCACAGAGGUGAACAGGAAAUGCUUAGGGAGACAGUUCACAGAUAUAUAUGUACUUCACAGGGCACAAUUUAAUCCAUAAAUCAAUCAUGGAUCACCGCUAAAGAAAACAAAAUAUGCUGCCACUAAUUUGCCACCACCCUGUGAGCAUGAUUGGAUGAUGUUUAUUUUGAUUAGGAGAUUGCUCCAUUUAUAAAUCUUCAAUACAUCCUGUCCCCCUAAAACGGCAUCUGGGUCUUUUGAGGGUUAAAAAAAAAAAAAAGUGAAAUUGGAUGAGGGAUGAGAGCUGGACUUCUGUGUGUCCCGGGGUCCCUGGAUCCACAGCCUGGUGCCUAGCAUCAGUUAAGCCCACGCUGGGGUCGCAUCACAUCCCGCAAAGCCACGUGCUCUGUGAGGCCAACAGGAGCCCCGCCGGGUGGACCAGCUGGAAUCUCAGAGAGCGCCGACUCUGAAACUACCCGGCUCUGCAGAAGCACGCUGGGCCCAGGGGCUUCUAGACUGACAGCUCCAUUUAUCAACUACCUAUUGGUUUUAAAAAUUGGAGUGUCUUUUCCGCGUUGACUGAUUUUGGCUCUAAGAGAUGUCGCUGGUCAUUUCAGAGUGACUGAACCUCCCCUCUAACAGAUCCCGGGAAUUGUUUUCAGGAAAGGUAAAAGGCAGCCUUUUCUGUCACAACACAACGCUGAGCCGGCAGCCUGGCUCUGUCAGGAUCUGGGGCUCCCGCGCCCGAGAAGCCCAGCCUCGCCGGCGGCCAAGUUCACCGCGAGGCCCCGCGCUGCCUGCGCUGCGCUCCCGGACCCGCACCGACCGCAGCGCGCGCCGCCGGUGCUUCUCCCACCCCAGCCUGGAAGCUGCCUCCCUCCGCCUAUGCCUGCAGGAUAAGAAGCCCGAGGAGGCGGAGCAUGGAACUCGACAGUUAAAACAUUUAAGAGAGAAAACCUAGUGUCUUGCUGGCCUGAAAUCGAGUACGCAGCCCGGGGUGAUCAGGGUCUCCCGGCCCGGAUGUGUGAGACUUGCUUCCCCUGGGCAAUAGGCGAUACGAUGCUUUAGGAGGAAGGUGUCUCUCCCUCCUAAGCCCCGGAGGGGAGAACUUCCAAAGACAGAAAACCACAGGCUUCCUGGCACAGAGCUUUCCCUUUAUCAGCUAAAGCAGAAUCUUUUCUGGCCUUAACCUGGCCCCUUCCUCUAACUGCAGGCAGAGAGGCAGACAGAAAAGCACUUGCUGAAACACAAAGUUUUGUUCUGUCCUCAACGAACUGUCUAGAGCUGAUUGCUGAUAGUCGUGGUGCAUUAUGCCUUCCUGGUUUUCAUUUAAUUGGGCACCACGCUGCCUUUCAAGACGCCUUAAAGGAACCAACAACCAAAUCCAAGAGAGCUGGACAGACCAUUGAACACACAGUAGGCUGUGUCUCGUGGCUUUCGUUGUCUGGUGCCUCAAAGAAAACACCAGAAAGAUUGUUUCUAAGCUAGAGCCACCCCAGAUUGCUUAAAGUGCAAAGCUCACUGCUGUUGGGGGUACCCUUGUGAGACACUGGAAAGCUGGUUUUACCGUGGCCCUAUGAAGAGGAAGACUGAAAUUUAGACAGUAAUACCUUUACUAGGAUUGGAAAAGAUUUGGUUAAUGACAGCCCUGUCAUUUCUAAAACCCAUUAUCACUGUAUGAGAGAUUCCUUUGCGCUGCAUCCUCGACAGUGCUUCCUAAGGCUCUGCCGACUUCCAGUUCUGGAACAAGAUGGUUAAACUCAUUUUUCCCUGCUCUGCUCCUCUAAAUACAACUAAGUACCUUGGAAACUAUUCAGCAGACAAUGAUAAAGGGCUCUGAAAGCUAGAAGAAAAGGUGUACUUGCAAGAAACCUCAGGACUUGAGUAACAGCAACAUGUCUUGGACGAGCCUGAGGAUGUCUACAAGUGGAAGAAAAGAAGCCACUGGAGCAGAAGGUGGGGAGGAUAAAAUUUGGAGCAAGAUUCUCAAGGAAGCAACAAGAUCCUAAGAUGUAGACUGAUGCACGUUCAGCCACAAUCAAGAUGCAGAACUGUGCCAUCACAACAAAGUUCUCCCUCAUGCUGUCCCUUUAAAGUCACAUCCACUGCUCCCCCAUGACCCCACCCAUAACUAACCCCUGGCAACCAUUACUCUGGUCUCCAGUUCUACAAUUUUGUAAUAGUGAGCAUUUUACAUAAAUGGAAUUAUACAAUAUGUGACCUAUUGAGAAUGGCUUUUUUUCCCCUUCAGUGUAGUGCCCUUGAGAUCCAUCCAAGUUGUAUGUAUCAAUAAUUUGUUUCUCUUUAUUAUUGAGUAGUAUUCCAUGGUAUGGAUAUACCACAGUUUGUUUCACCAUUCUUCUAUUGUAGGACAUUUUGGUUGUUUCUAGGUUUGAGUUAUUACAUAUAAAGCUGCCGUGAAGAAUCAUAUACAAGUUUUUAUGUGCACAUAUUUCCAUU